UAGCGUAAUAAUUUGUUUUUUAAUUGAAAGCUUGAAUGAAAGGUUUGACAUAGUGAGGCUGUAUGGGUAGGGGAGAGGAACUUUAAGUUUAAGUUAAAAUGCUUAGAUGGGUAAAGGGACGAUAAGACCCUAAAAUCUUUAUUACGAGUAAUUUAGCUGGGGCAGCUUAAACUAUAAAAUUGUUUUUAAUCUAACGGAGUAACGGAGGGAGAUCUUUUAAAUAAAAAUUAUUGAUUUAGAUACUUUAGGGAUAACAGCAUAAUAGUUUUGGAAAGUUCUUAUAAAUAAGAUUGAUUAUGACCUCGAUGUUGAAUUAAUUUUUUUUUUGAGGGACAAGGCAAAAGUAAAAGGUUUGUUCAACCUUUAAUAUAUUACGUGAUUU
rnacentral:rRNA from 1 species